UACACUCCUGCGGGAGGCAGCAGUGGGGAAUAUUGGACAAUGGGCGAAAGCCUGAUCCAGCAAUGCCGCGUGAGUGAUGAAGGCCUUAGGGUUGUAAAGCUCUUUUACCCGGGAUGAUAAUGACAGUACCGGGAGAAUAAGCCCCGGCUAACUCCGUGCCAGCAGCCGCGGUAAUACGGAGGGGGCUAGCGUUGUUCGGAAUUACUGGGCGUAAAGCGCGCGUAGGCGGCUUUGUAAGUUAGAGGUGAAAGCCCGGAGCUCAACUUCGGAAUUGCCUUUAAGACUGCAUCGCUAGAAUCGUGGAGAGGUGAGUGGAAUUCCGAGUGUAGAGGUGAAAUUCGUAGAUAUUCGGAAGAACACCAGUGGCGAAGGCGACUCACUGGACACGUAUUGACGCUGAGGUGCGAAAGCGUGGGGAGCAAACAGGAUUAGAAACCCCAGUAGUCCCAUGAU
rnacentral:rRNA from 1 species